rnacentral:rRNA from 1 species
AUUGAACGCUGGCGGCAUGCCUUACACAUGCAAGUCGAACGGCAGCAUGGGUGCUUGCACCUGGUGGCGAGUGGCGAACGGGUGAGUAAUACAUCGGAACGUACCUUACCGUGGGGGAUAACGCAGCGAAAGUUGCGCUAAUACCGCAUACGCCCUGAGGGGGAAAGCGGGGGACCGUAAGGCCUCGCGCGAUUAGAGCGGCCGUUGUCUGAUUAGCUUGUUGGUGAGGUAAAAGCUCGCCAAGGCGAUGAUCAGUAGCUGGUCUGAGAGGACGAGCAGCCACACUGGGACGAGGACACGGACCAGACUCCUACGGAAGGCAGCAUUGGGGAAUUUUGGACUAUGGGGGCAACCGUGAUCCAGCAAGGCCGCGUGAGUGAAGAAGGCCUUCGGGUUGUAAAGCUCUUUUGUAAGGGAAGAAACAGCAGCUCUAACACAGUCUGCGAAUGACGGUACCUGAAGAAUAAUCACCGGCUAACUACGUGCCAGCAGCCGCCGUAA